CCUAGCCUGCCCAUAACACAUUAUUAUCUAUGCCUUUCCAGCCAUACAAUGGAUAGACAACUACAUGACAACUCUACACUGUCUCCAGAGGUUUCUGUGUACACCAGUAGAGAGACAGAGCUCUAACAAGGAGGAUGGCAGUGCAUGGGGUUGUCCUAAUUGAGUGCUAAUGGGUCCCAACCGGGAGGCAGUCUCAGCUGGGUGCCAAUUGCUCUAAUUGAUAAGAAGCCCUGAUUGGGUCCUUGGAGGGUGCUGGUUCCUCACUGAACUUACUAAAGGGAGGCUGGAGAACGAGACAGCUGUUGCCUGAAAAGGAAGAGUUUUAGUUAUGGUUUUUCUGCUGCAAUGCAAGUAGAAGGAUUUUUAAAAGUACACAUGACAGAGCUGGGAAUGGGGACGUAGUGGAUCAAAUGAAGUUGCUUUGAAGAAAUAUUUUCACUGUGGAAGGAAGCUGUGCAUUGCAGGGUAAAAAUGAAAGUUUCUGGAAGAUAAGCUUGGAGCUUUUUCUGCUGUUCUGCAGAAUGCACAGAACUCCUAGCAGAGCCAACAAGUACUUGAAGACUUUUCACUUCUCCUGUUUGUAUGAAGUGUGGCUUUUGGAGACGUGGAACUGGAAGAGUCUCAGAUAGAACCUCCUGCCUGGAGAACUCACGCAUCCUCGACAAAAAUGAACCAGGAGGAGAUGGCUUAUCCCCACAGAGCCUGGGAUGAGGAAUUUCACCUAAAUGGAUGCAGGUCUGUGUAUCUUUUUUGGUCAGAGAUCUAUCAUCGCCACAUGCAAUAGGACAAACGUGCAACAGAAGACAAAUGGAAAACUCUUUACUUCCAAUAAGGAGCUGGCUCGUUAAAGGCAGUGAGAGGUUUGCAGCACCAGCCCUAGCAACAGCACUGAAAGUUAUCCCAAACAUGUAAAUGAAGCCGAGCUCCAGCGAUGGGAGGCCAAGCCACUAUGAACCCUCUGCAUCACGCUAUUAAUACAAAGAGGGGCCUCAAUUAAUUAAACUCUUAAAGGGUGACGCAAAAGCAUCAGAAGAAAUUUGCGGUGCACGUAAAGACAAAGUGUGUUCCACCAUACCUAAUUGCCAGAAUAAUUAUUUUCUGCUAUGCAAAUUAUCAUGAGCAAAUUCACUGCAGCUCAUUUGUGUGUAUUUAAUUAUCAUCAAGAGCUGGGGUUGAGGGACUAGAUUUAAUGUUUGUAAUGAAAUAGCAAGAAUUGGUGUGUGUGUUUGCAGAGAACUCGUUAUUUUACCACAGCUGGAUUUGUUUAUUUUAAAUAAAUCGUUAU